rnacentral:tRNA from 1 species
GGUGGCUCAGUGGUAGAGCGCUUGACUUGCAUGCAAGAGACCCUGGGAUUGAUUCCUUAGCACCA